UGCAGUCGAGCGGAAAGGCCCUUCGGGGUACUCGAGCGGCGAACGGGUGAGUAACACGUGAGCAACCUGCCCUAGGCUUUGGGAUAACCCUCGGAAACGGGGGCUAAUACCGAAUAUGACGCUUCACCGCAUGGUGGGGUGUGGAAAGUUUUUCGGCCUGGGAUGGGCUCGCGGCCUAUCAGCUUGUUGGUGGGGUGAUGGCCUACCAAGGCGACGACGGGUAGCCGGCCUGAGAGGGCGACCGGCCACACUGGGACUGAGACACGGCCCAGACUCCUACGGGAGGCAGCAGUGGGGAAUAUUGCACAAUGGGCGGAAGCCUGAUGCAGCGACGCCGCGUGAGGGAUGACGGCCUUCGGGUUGUAAACCUCUUUCAGCAGGGACGAAGCGUAAGUGACGGUACCUGCAGAAGAAGCGCCGGCCAACUACGUGCCAGCAGCCGCGGUAAGACGUAGGGCGCGAGCGUUGUCCGGAUUUAUUGGGCGUAAAGAGCUCGUAGGCGGCUUGUCGCGUCGACUGUGAAAACCCGCAGCUCAACUGCGGGCCUGCAGUCGAUACGGGCAGGCUAGAGUUCGGUAGGGGAGACUGGAAUUCCUGGUGUAGCGGUGAAAUGCGCAGAUAUCAGGAGGAACACCGAUGGCGAAGGCAGGUCUCUGGGCCGAUACUGACGCUGAGGAGCGAAAGCGUGGGGAGCGAAAAGGAUUAGAUACCCUGGUAGUCCACGCUGUAAACGUUGGGCGCUAGGUGUGGGGGGGCCUCUCCGGUUCUCUGUGCCGCAGCUAACGCAUUAAGCGCCCCG
rnacentral:rRNA from 1 species